rnacentral:misc_RNA from 1 species
CCAACAUGAAGAAAGGUUUUUUAAACAACAUGCCUUCAUCUUUAUAGUUUCUUUUGCUUUAUUAAAAACAAUAAUUUGUUUUUUUCUUCAUAGGAGUGUUUAUCAUACUAAAGUAACUGUUUGGCCGUGUUAUCAUUUAUUUUAAAUUACAUUGUGUGACAUAUGUUCUCUUACUAGAAAAAAAACCCCACUGUAAUUAUGAUGGUUUGUUAUGAAGAGGUUGUGACAUUUUGUACCAAGAUUUAUAAUGAAAUGGUUGUGAUAUUUUGUACCAAUAUUUUUAAUGAAAUUGUUGCUGUGUUCACAAGAUUUUUUCUCUCAACUUUGUAUGUUCAAUAUAUAACAAUACAAAUGUAAAUAGUGAUUAUUCAGUUUUCAAAUCAUAAAUGUAAUAUACCUUUUAUACAUUCCAUUUAUACAUGUGUAUUAUGUGAACAAUAUAUUUUUUGUUAUUUUGUUUUUAAAGGUGCAUUCCAGUUUCUGAAAUAAAUAUAUGGAAAUUUAUCUGUGCUGCAUCAUUACAUCAAAGUUUUGAGCAAAUAUAAACUUGUUUUAACUGG